rnacentral:rRNA from 1 species
UGAUCGAGCGCUCGUGCACCGAAGAUGAAUGGGAAUAAACGAUUUUUUGAAGCUAUGGGAUGUAAAAAUACAUGGGUAAGGGACCGUUUCCCCUCAGAGGGAAGCACCAGCGCAAGCAGGUGUGGAUGAAGCAGAAGCGAGAAUGUUGGUUUGAGUAACGAAAACAUUGGUGAGAAUCCAAUGCCCCGAAAAACCUAAUGGCGUUCCUCCGCAAGGGUUUCGUUCCACGGAGGGUGAGUCAGGGCCUAAGAUCAGGGCCGAAAGGCGUAGUCGAUGACACAGGUGAAUAUUCCUGUACUACCCCUUGUUGGUCCUGAGGGACAAAGGAGGCUAGGUUAGUUGAAAGAUGGUUAUUGAUUCAAGGAUGCAAGGUUACCCUUUUCAGUGUAAGAAGGGUAGAGAAAAUGCCUCAAGCCAAUGUCUGAGUACUAAGUGCUACAGUGAUGAAGUAACCCAUGCCAUAGUCUCAAGAAAAGCUCAAACAACCUUCAACAGAUCGGUACCUAUACCCAAAACCAACACAGGUAGGUGGUAGAGAAUACCUAGGGGCACGAGACAACUCUCUCUAAGGAAACUCGGCAAAAAUAGCCCCGUAAACUUCGGAGAGAAGGGGUUGCCUCCUCAGGAGGUCGCAGUGACCAGGCCGGGCGACUGUUUACCAAAAACACAGGUUCCUCCGCAAAGUCGUAAGACCUGUAUGGGGGCUGACACCUACCCAGUGCCGAAAGGUUAACGAAUUUAGUGACGUGAUGAUGGGGAAGCCAGCGACCGAAUCCCCAGUGAAUGGUAGCCAUAACUAAAACGAUCCUAAGGUAGUGAAAUUCCUUGUCAGGUAAGUUCCAUCUUGCACAAAAGGCAUAACGAUCUCGGCAUUGUCUCGGAGAGGGACUUGGUGAAAUAGACAUGUCUGUGAAUAUGCAGACUAGUUGCACCUAGACAAAAAGACCCUGUGAAGCUUUACUGUUCCCUCGGAUUUUCUUUGGGUUAUUCUUGCACAACUUAGGUGGAGGGCGAAGAAGACCCCCUUCUGGGGGGCCUGAGCCACCAGUGAGAUACCACUCUUGAAGAGCUUAGAAUUCUAACCUUGCGUCAGGACCUACGGGGCAAGGGACAGUCUCAGGUAGACAUUUUCUAUGGGGCAUAGGCCUCCCAAAAGGUAACAUAGGUGUGCAAAGGUUUCGUUGGUCCAAACAAAAAUCGGCCCCCGAGUGAAAAUGCAGAAGGGAGCUUGACUGUAAGACCCACCCAUCGAGCAGGGACGAAAGUCAGCCUUAGUGAUACGACGGUGCCAAGUGGAAGGGCCAUUGCUCAAUUGAUAAAGGUUAGUCUAGGGAUAAUAGACUGAUCUUCCACAACAGUUCACAUCGACCAGAAGGUUUGGCCUCGAUGUUGGCUCUUCGCCACCUGGGGUUGUAGUACGUUCCAAGGGUUGGGUUGUUCACCCAUUAAAGCGGUACGUGAGCUAGGUUUAGAAUGCCGUAAGACAGUUUGGUCCAUAUCUGGUGCGGGUGUUAGGGCAUUGAGAGGACCUUUCCCUACUACGUGAGGACCGAGAGGGAUGCACCUCUGGUGUACCAGUUAUCAUGCCCACGGUAGAUGCUAGGUAGCCAAGUGCGGAGCAGAUAACUACUGGGAACAGCAUAUAAGUUAGAAAAGCCCACCCCAAGAUGAGUGCUCUCAUAUUCCUACUUCCCUGAGAGACCCUAGUCAUGAACACGGCUGGGACAAUAACGGUUUCUUUGUCCUUUCAGGGGAUGGAGCGACCAAAGUAUUAAGAAUCCAAGAUAAGGUCACGGUGAGACGAGCCAUUUAUAAUUACAAUAGGUGUCAACUGGAAGUGUGGAUGUAUGCAACUGAGGCAUCCUAAUAUACCAAGAGAUUUGAACCU